rnacentral:rRNA from 1 species
GAUGAACGCUGGCGGCGUGCCUAAUACAUGCAAGUCGAGCGAACAGACGAGGAGCUUGCUCCUCUGACGUUAGCGGCGGACGGGUGAGUAACACGUGGAUAACCUACCUAUAAGACUGGGAUAACUUCGGGAAACCGGAGCUAAUACCGGAUAAUAUAUUGAACCGCAUGGUUCAAUAGUGAAAGACGGUUUUGCUGUCACUUAUAGAUGGAUCCGCGCCGCAUUAGCUAGUUGGUAAGGUAACGGCUUACCAAGGCAACGAUGCGUAGCCGACCUGAGAGGGUGAUCGGCCACACUGGAACUGAGACACGGUCCAGACUCCUACGGGAGGCAGCAGUAGGGAAUCUUCCGCAAUGGGCGAAAGCUUGACGGAGCAACGCCGCGUGGGUGAUGAAGGUCUUCGGAUCGUAAAACUCUGUUAUUAGUGAAGAACAAAUGUGUAAGUAACUAUGCACGUCUUGACGGUACCUAAUCAGAAAGCCACGGCUAACUACGUG